AAAAAGUUAGUUUUAAUAAAAACAUUAGUUUGUCAAACUAAAAAUAUUCUAGUAAUACUUUUUA
rnacentral:tRNA from 1 species